rnacentral:rRNA from 1 species
UACGGGAGGCAGCAGUGGGGAAUAUUGCACAAUGGGCGCAAGCCUGAUGCAGCCAUGCCGCGUGUAUGAAGAAGGCCUUCGGGUUGUAAAGUACUUUCAGUCGUGAGGAAGGUGUUAAGGUUAAUAACCUUAGCAAUUGACGUUAGCGACAGAAGAAGCACCGGCUAACUCCGUGCCAGCAGCCGCGGUAAUACGGAGGGUGCGAGCGUUAAUCGGAAUUACUGAGCGUAAAGGGCACGCAGGCGGUUAAUUAAGUUGGAUGUGAAAUCCCCGGGCUUAACCUGGGAAUGGCAUUCAAGACUGGUUAGCUAGAGUCUUGUAGAGGGGGUAGAAUUCCAUGUGUAGCGGUGAAAUGCGUAGAGAUGUGGAGGAAUACCGGUGGCGAAGGCGGCCCCUGGACAAGACUGACGCUCAUGUGCGAAAGCGUGGGGAGCAAACAGGAUUAGAUACC